GUUCUAGGUAGAGUUAUGAUUAUGACAUUUUCUACCUAUGUGUCUUGACCAAAUCACGUGCCAGCAGUCGCGGUAAUACGUGGAAGACUAGUGUUAUUCAUCUUUAGUAGGUUUAAAGCGUACUUAGACGGUAUAUUCAGCCCAAUUAAUAGGGGGUACUGAUAAGACUAGAGUUUUAUACGAGGGGGAACGGGAGUACUACCAGUGUAGAGAUGAAAUAUUUUGAUACUGCUAGGACUGGCAACGGCGAAAGCAACCCUUUAUGUAAAAACUGACGUUGAAGGACGAAGGCUUGGUUCACCAACAGGAUUAGCUACCCCAGCAGUCUGAGCAGACAAUGAUGAAUGUCAUAGGUAGGAAAUACUACUAUCUGAAUUAAUAUAGUAAUAACCUGUCUAUAAAUGAAAGUGUUCCACCUCAAGAGUAAUGCGGCAACGCAGAAACUGAAAUCAUUAGACCGUUUCUGAAACCAGUAGUGAAGUAUGUUGUUUAAUUAGAUUGCCCUCUAAAAACCUCACCACAAUUUGUAUGUUUAUUUCAUAUAAACACAGGCGUUGCACGGCUGUCUUCAGUUAAUAUCGUGAGAUUUUGGUUAGUUCCAUUAAUUAACGCAAACCCUUACUUUAUUUAAUUUAAUAUAUAAAGUAGUUCUCCGCUAGAUUGGAUUAGAUAACAGGGACUAAGACAAGUCAUCAUGACCUAAAUAUUGUGGGCUAUAGACGUGCCACAUAAGACUAC
rnacentral:rRNA from 1 species